AGGACGAACGCUGGCGGCGUGCUUAACACAUGCAAGUCGAGCGGAAAGGCCCUUCGGGGUACUCGAGCGGCGAACGGGUGAGUAACACGUGAGCAACCUGCCCUCAGCUCUGGGAUAGCUCCCGGAAACGGGAAUUAAUACCGGAUACGACCCCAACUGACAUCGGUCAGGGUGGAAAGGAUUCCGGCUGAGGAUGGACUCGCGGCCUAUCAGCUAGUUGGUGGAGUAACGGCCCACCAAGGCGACGACGGGUAGCCGGCCUGAGAGGGCGACCGGCCACACUGGGACUGAGACACGGCCCAGACUCCUGCGGGAGGCAGCAGUGGGGAAUAUUGCGCAAUGGGCGAAAGCCUGACGCAGCGACGCCGCGUGGGGGAUGAAGGCCUUCGGGUUGUAACCCCUUUCAGCAGGGACGAAGCGAGAGUGACGGUACCUGCAGAAGAAGCGCCGGCUAACUACGUGCCAGCAGCCGC
rnacentral:rRNA from 1 species